rnacentral:rRNA from 1 species
CCUACGGGUGGCUGCAGUGAGGAAUAUUGGUCAAUGGCCGGAAGGCUGAACCAGCCAUGCCGCGUGAAGGUCAGUGCCCUAUGGGCGUUAAACUUCUUUUGUGCGGGAGCAAUACUGGUCACGUGUGGCCAGACUAGAGUACCGUACGAAUAAGCAUCGGCUAACUCCGUGCCAGCAGCCGCGGUUAUACGGGGGGUGCAAGCGUUAUCCCGAUUUAUUGGGGUUAAAGGGUGCGUAGGCUGUGCGCUAAGUCAGCGGUGAAAUGCCCCCGCUCAACGGGGUGAAGUGCCAUUGAUACUGCGUGGCUGGAAUGCGGAUGCCGUGGGAGGAAUUUGUGGUGUAGCGGUGAAAUGCAUAGAUAUCACACAGAACACCGAUUGCGAAGGCAUCUCACGAAUCCGCGAUUGACGCUGAUGCACGAAGGCGUGGGUAUCAAACAGGAUUAGAUACCCUUGUAGUC